rnacentral:rRNA from 1 species
GUGAGGAAUAUUGCGCAAUGGAGGCAACUCUGACGCAGCCAUGCCGCGUGCAGGAAGAAGGCGCUACGCGUUGUAAACUGCUUUUAACCGGGAAGAAACCCCAGGACGUGUCCUGGGUUGACGGUACCGGAGGAAUAAGCACCGGCUAACUUCGUGCCAGCAGCCGCGGUAAUACGAAGGGUGCAAGCGUUAUCCGGAUUCAUUGGGUUUAAAUGGUGCGUAGGCGGAGCGUUAAGUCAGUGGUGAAAUCCUGCAGCUUAACUGUAGACUUGCCAUUGAUACUGGCGCUCUUGAGUGCGCUUGAAGUGGGCGGAAUGUGCCGUGUAGCGGUGAAAUGCUUAGAUAUGGCACAGAACACCAAUUGCGAAGGCAGCUCACUAAGGCGAUACUGACGCUGAGGCACGAAAGCGUGGGGAUCGAACAGGAUUAGAAACCCGAGUAGUCC